rnacentral:rRNA from 1 species
UGCUUCUCUGAUGUUAGCGGCGGACGGGUGAGUAACACGUGGAUAACCUACCUAUAAGACUGGGAUAACUUCGGGAAACCGGAGCUAAUACCGGAUAAUAUUUUGAACCGCAUGGUUCAAAAGUGAAAGACGGUCUUGCUGUCACUUAUAGAUGGAUCCGCGCUGCAUUAGCUAGUUGGUAAGGUAACGGCUUACCAAGGCAACGAUGCAUAGCCGACCUGAGAGGGUGAUCGGCCACACUGGAACUGAGACACGGUCCAGACUCCUACGGGAGGCAGCAGUAGGGAAUCUUCCGCAAUGGGCGAAAGCCUGACGGAGCAACGCCGCGUGAGUGAUGAAGGUCUUCGGAUCGUAAAACUCUGUUAUUAGGGAAGAACAUAUGUGUAAGUAACUGUGCACAUCUUGACGGUACCUAAUCAGAAGGCCACGGCUAACUACGUGCCAGUAGCCGCGGUAAUACGUAGGUGGCAAGCGUUAUCCGGAAUUAUUGGGCGUAAAGCGCGCGUAGGCGGUUUUUUAAGUCUGAUGUGAAAGCCCACGGCUCAACCGUGGAGGGUCAUUGGAAACUGGAAAACUUGAGUGCAGAAGAGGAAAGUGGAAUUCCAUGUGUAGCGGUGAAAUGCGCAGAGAUAUGGAGGAACACCAGUGGCGAAGGCGACUUUCUGGUCUGUAACUGACGCUGAUGUGCGAAAGCGUGGGGAUCAAACAGGAUUAGAUACCCUGGUAGUCCACGCCGUAAACGAUGAGUGCUAAGUGUUAGGGGG